UAAGCUAUGAAUUUGUAAGUUUUUCUCAUUUUUCAAAAGAUAAAAAAAAUUGAUUGUUGGGGAUUUGAUACGAUUAAGCUAAUACUAUUUAGGUUAUAGAUGUUCUUUUUAUUUAUAGUAAAGACAUAACACACGUACCCCACAAACAAAAACAGACAAAUAGGUAACCUAAAUGUAUUGGUAGCUUCCAUAGGGAAGUUUUUGUUACUAGGAAAGACUACCUCUUUAAAAUCCCUAAUUUUGUAUUUUGUUGCCUUCAUUGGAAAUUGAAGAACAAUUUCCCAAAUAAGAUAUGAAAAGGCAAAAGAUGUUUUCACAAUAAUGAAUAACAUUAUCAACCCUAAUAAUUCUAUCUUAGUACUAAUAUUGACCUACCUAUUUGACCCAUUAUAAUAAAGUUAUUGAAGGCACUAUUGGGUAAUAGUAAGAUCAUAUAUAAAUUAAAAUUAAGGUAGUAGUUCUUCUAGUAAAUUGCAUGUCUGUCUACACAGACAUAUAUGGUCUUUUAAAAAGAAGAGGGUUCCCCUUAGUUUAUAUGCCUCUUGACUUGAGUCUAUGAUCGAUGUUUGUCCUUAUAUCAAACCAAACAUUCCUAUUGUUGCAAGUCUUUUAUCAUAGGUUUUAAUGCAAAGGGACAUUUGAUUAGAAGUUAUAAUCUUAAAGUGAUAAAGAUGACCACUUUUAAAAACCUAGAAUGUGUCAUUUUUUGAGAACAUCUUUUUUUAUAUCUCCACCUCAAGGGACACUUUUGCAUGGAGGUAUGUAAUGGUUUCAAGCUUUUAUAUCUAACAAAAAAUUAAAUAAUUAUUCCUAUCACCCUUUUUAAACCUUAAGGGCCCUUUAAAAUCUUUUAAAUCUUCUUGUAAUUAAGCCUCAUAAAAAAAUAUAAACUUGGUUAUAAUGAGUUUAAUUACCAUUCUAAAUAACAUACAUGCUUACCAUAUCAUUUUCCUGUUUAGGUAUACUACUCAAUGGCACGAGUGUUUAAUGGUAUGAGUGGAGUCGGAAAAAGGAGAGGAGUGACUCGUUGGAGCCAUCUAACAUCGGAGAAGAGCUGCAUACUACGAGAGUCUUUACAGGAGGAUUCUAAUUCCAAUCCAAGCCUCUUGAAAAUCUAGAGACACCUACGCUCAUGAGGCCUUGAGAAAGAUGGGUCCUUCUGGUUCUUGCACUCUUGACUUUCUUCUCCUACUUCUACCGUAAGAUGCUUCUGCCCAACAAUGAUAUGGAUCAACUCUUCCUUGAAUUCAAGGAAUCCAUCCAUAUCAUAGAAUGGGUCAUCUUCUUUCUUCCUCUUGGACUCCCCCAGCCCCUCUAACAGCACCAACUUGUCUUCCUCGCUCCACAACCUUUGAACACAAACCUCUUUUCCACCCAUCAGUGUUGUCUCCAUUGUCCACCUUCUGCUUCUUCAUCGACCCCUUCAGAGUAUGGUCAUACCUCACAAGCCUCUUCCUGGGGGCUCGUAGGGGUUGCCUCCAUACUUCUUCCAGUUCAGAAUUAUCUGAGGAACAAUGAAGCUGUCAGAUUCCGGAGAUGACACGCUCCAGCUAUGGACUCUUGCAGGGAGGAUAUGGGGUUCAUGUUCUGACAUCACUUUGAAAGAUGAAAGAGGGGGGUGGCACCAAAAUUGGGUUGGGCUUCAACACCUAAUGAAACGAAAGUUGGCUCGCCUUAUAUGGAGAAAAUUUGCUUUAACCGAAUGUUCAAGAGUGAAAUAUAAUCAAGUAAUUUUUUUUUAUUCUUUCUUAAUAACAAUGGUAAUAGGACAACAUAAAUGAAAGAGGGAAAGAUGUUGAAUUCAAUUGCUUGUUAAAUGAAUUUAUAAUUUGUUUGUAUUAAUUAUUGAUGAAAUUGCUUA